CGGUCUUCACACUCCAUCCAAAAUGGGGAUAAUGAAGUCUCACGGAUUCGGCUUCAGCUGAGAGCUGCCUCCAGCACAGUCUUGUGUAAAUCAAUAUCCAUAUGUGAUUUUAAGCAGCUCAAGCAUCAGCUCUUAAAAACCACCAGAAAUGCUGGGGGCAAAUUCCACCGAGCAGCAAAUAACGGAACUGCAUCCAACAACCCAGCACAGGCAGAGCCUCCAUCAUUCUCCUGCCCCCACCGGAGCAGCACACUUCUGUAUGACUGACAGACCCGCAUCAACGCGGCACCACCACCCAGAGUCCACAGCUCACACGAGGGCUCGGCCUGCUGCUGCUCACUCUGUGGGUUUCACAGACAUGGAACGGCAUGGAUUCCCCAUGAAAGCCCCAUCCGGAGUUGCUUCCCCACCCUACACAUCCCCCUAUGCUCCUCCCAUUCAUCCCUCCCUUUCCCAACCCCUGGCAGCUGCUGACCGUUUUUACUGUCUCCACAGCUUUGCCUUUUCCCGACUGCCCAGCGGCUGGACUCACACAGCAGGCAGCCUUUCCAGAUUGGAGACUCACUUAGCAACAUGCGUUUAAGAUCCGUGUCUUUUCAUGGCUUAGUGGUCCAGUUCUUUUUUGUACUGAAUAGUAUCCCAGUUUCUGACCUAACACAGUUUAUCCGUUCACCUACUGAAGUGCAUCUUGGUUGCUUUCUAGUUUUGGCAAUUGUAAAUAAAGCUAUAAAGCUGCUGUCAA